rnacentral:lncRNA from 1 species
GCUAAUUGCCGAGGUCCUCUUCUAGGAUUGGUUGUCCACUCAUAACCAUAAGAUAAUUAAAACGGGGGGGGGCAGGGUAAAAAAAAAACCCUUUUAUCAGCCAUAGGUUAAUGCAAGUGUUUAACAGAUGCUUCGCUAUUAAAAUAUUUCCCCCCAAUACUGAAGAAUCUUAAACCAGCAACCCUAACAGAGAUUGCGAAGAUUUUCAAAGUGGGGCACCUCGAUUUCUCGAAUCUGUGGUGUGGCGAAUAUCCGUGUUCCUCCUGCUUAACUAGCCUGUUUGAAGGCACAGUUCAUUCUCGAGCAAUUCGUCACCUCCUGGGGGUCUUCUCUUCCCGUCUACAGGAGAGUGUGACUUCAGAAAGAACUUCGGAUUGGCCAAGGCCAUUAAAGCUGGUGAGCGACUUGGAAGUCAUUUAGAAAGGAACAGACCUUCAACCUCAAGCCUUUGCGGGCACUGGGAAAGUGUCUUCCCAAUCAAUCUGGCUUGCAGGCGGCAGGACCAACUCUGACCUGGCUUAUCUUGUACCCAUCCUAAAUACACCAAACUCAAGAGGUAGCCAGGGCCGCCUCAACACCGAGGUCUGAUUCUAUUUAUUCUAAAGACAGAGUUGGAGAUGGGCUACCAUUGGUGUUGAUUGAGAUGACAAGCAGUCACCUGAGCCCAUACAGCUGGUAAGUAGAACAGUACUGGAGAGAUGGCUCAGCAGUUAAGAGCACUGACUGCUCUUCCAGAGAUCCUGAGUUCAAUUCCCAGCAACCACAUGGUGGCUCACAAACAUCUGUAAUGAGAUCAGGUGCCCUCUUCUGGUGCCUUUGAAGACAAAGACAGUGUAGUGUCAUAUAUAUAAAAUAAAUAAAUCUUUAGAAAUUUGAAAAUAA